rnacentral:rRNA from 1 species
UACGUAGGGGGCAAGCGUUGUCCGGAAUCAUUGGGCGUAAAGAGCGUGUAGGCGGCCCGGUAAGUCCGCUGUGAAAGUCCAGGGCUCAACCCUGGAAUGCCGGUGGAAACUGUCGGGCUAGAGUCCGGAAGAGGCGAGUGGAAUUCCUGGUGUAGCGGUGAAAUGCGCAGAUAUCAGGAGGAACACCAAUGGCGAAGGCAGCUCGCUGGGACGGUACUGACGCUGAGACGCGAAAGCGUGGGGAGCGAACAGG